rnacentral:rRNA from 1 species
UUUUCCUACGGGGGGCAGCAGUGAGGAAUAUUGGUCAAUGGGAGGAAUCCUGAACCAGCCAUGCCGCGUGCAGGACGACGGCUCUACGAGUUGUAAACUGCUUUUGUACCGGGGUAAAAUGCCUUACGAGUAGGGUUUUGAAAGUACGGUACGAAUAAGGAUCGGCUAACUCCGUGCCAGCAGCCGCGGUAAUACGUAUGGGGCAAGCGUUAUCCGGAUUCACUGGGUGUAAAGGGUGCGUAGACGGCCAUGCAAGCCUGGAGUGAAAGCCCGGGGCCCAACCCCGGGACUGCUCUGGGAACUGG